rnacentral:rRNA from 1 species
UGGGGAAUAUUGCACAAUGGGCGCAAGCCUGAUGCAGCCAUGCCGCGUGUGUGAAGAAGGCCUUCGGGUUGUAAAGCACUUUCAGCGAGGAGGAAGGUGGUGAGCUUAAUACGCUCAUCAAUUGACGUUACUCGCAGAAGAAGCACCGGCUAACUCCGUGCCAGCAGCCGCGGUAAUACGGAGGGUGCAAGCGUUAAUCGGAAUUACUGGGCGUAAAGCGCACGCAGGCGGUUUGUUAAGUCAGAUGUGAAAUCCCCGGGCUCAACCUGGGAACUGCAUUUGAAACUGGCAAGCUAGAGUCUCGUAGAGGGGGGUAGAAUUCCAGGUGUAGCGGUGAAAUGCGUAGAGAUCUGGAGGAAUACCGGUGGCGAAGGCGGCCCCCUGGACGAAGACUGACGCUCAGGUGCGAAAGCGUGGGGCAGCAAACAGGAUUAGAUACCCUGGUAGUCCAGCGCUGUAAACGAUGUCGAUUUGGAGGUUGUGCCCUUGAGGCGUGGCUUCCGGAGCUAACGCGUUAAAUCGACCGCCUGGGGGAGUACGGCCGCAAGGUUAAAACUUAAAUGAAUUGACGGGGUCAU